rnacentral:rRNA from 1 species
UACGUAGGGCGCAAGCGUUAUCCGGAAUUAUUGGGCGUAAAGAGCUCGUAGGCGGUUUGUCGCGUCUGCCGUGAAAGCCCGGAGCUCAACUCCGGAACUGCCAUUGAAACUGUUUAGCUUGAGGAUGAGAGAGGUGAGUGGAAUUCCCAGUGUAGAGGUGAAAUUCGUAGAUAUUGGGAAGAACACCGGUGGCGAAGGCGGCUCACUGGCUCAUUACUGACGCUCAGGCGCGAUAGCGUGGGGAUCAAACAGG